GGUUUCCUGGUGUAAUGGCUAGCACUGCGGAUUCUGACUCUUGGAUUGAAAGAUUCUUGAUUCUAACAUUCCGCCAAUCUGGGUUCGAUUCCCAGGGAGACCU